CGGGGAGUGGCUCAGUUUGGCUAGAGCGCAACGUUCGGGACGUUGAGGUCGUGGGUUCAAGUCCCGCCUCCCCGA
rnacentral:tRNA from 1 species